rnacentral:lncRNA from 1 species
GAUCAUUUGGUGUCAAGAUUUUCUAUUAGUGUUUUUGGCCCGACCGAAUUUGCACUAAUCUGGGUUGAAGUAAUGAUGUUUCGUGCUCUCCAAUUGGUACAGCGUGUAACGUCAAUAGCGAAGCAUUUUCUAACCUAAGUUGGCAAACCCAAUCGAGCCGAAAACGCUAUAUAUGUUUCACAGCGGAGAUGAUCAUUUCAGUGUUUAUAUAGUUCAGUGGUAAUACAUUUAUAAUUUUAUGGAGUAUUGUGCAUUGAAGUCACGACAGAUCAAAAAAAGAGAUGGUGGCAAUCAGUAAUACCGUUUUUCCAAUUUGGAGACUUCUCACAAUUAUCCAAGAAUUCAAGAAUACUAAUUAUGACGAAUUUUAUUAUUAUAUAAGAAUGAUGCCUGAUAGAUUUGAUUGGCUUUUGGAAAAGACGAAACCUUAUCUGUCUAAAAUAUAGCAGGAGACAUUCAUUUCCAUCAGAAUUGAGACUGGUUCUGAGAUAUUUUGUUCACAAAAAUAGUGUAUGAUCAAAGAAGUGGUCUUUUUUUAUUGGUUACUCAAUAGUAAUAAGAUUAUUCCUGAGAUAUGUGAUGUAAUUAUAAAAGCUUUACAGCCAAUAUUUACCACCCAUGACAAGAAAGGAUUAACGUAAUAUAGUUAAUGGAUUUUAUGAGAAUUUCCCUAAUUGUAUAAGGAUACUUUGUAUAAGAAUCUAGGCUCCAAAAACUCAAGCUGUCUCUUCUUUAGUAGCAAGAAAUUUUUUUCAAUUGUUCUCAUGACAAUCUAUGGUACAGAUUUUCAAAAAGAUGGACUAUGGUACGUAUUAAUCAGCAUAAAUAGCGAUAGUUUUAGUAACUAACCGAACUGAUUUAUAAAUAAAACUAUUAACAAAGAAAGGCCAAUGAGAGCAAAAUCGCAAUCAAUAAGCGUAUACAUUCAUAUUUUCUCAAUACAAUCUUAUAUAUAAUACAUUAUAUUAUAUGUGAUAUAAGAUCUUGACGAGAACACAGGACUAACAACCACAUUUACAAAAAUAAUUCUUGAGAUUAAUCUAUCUGUAUUACAACUUGUAAAGAAACAUUCCUGGUUGAAUUGUCACAAAACCAUCGAGACAGAAAAUCAUUUACCUUGAAAUUUAGAAUCGCUGUAUAAUGUAUUUCAUUCUUCUCAUCUUUAUUAUUAUUGUUUUUAAUAGUUAAAUAUGGCUUAAAAUAAUCCAAAACGUCUGACCGGAGAGUAACAUGUAACAUGUAUAAGAAUAUAUUGAGUAAAUAUAAAUGUACAUGCUUAUUGCAACUGCGGUGUUCUCAAGCCUUUCUUUAUUAAUAAUUUUGUUUUUAAAUAUGUUAGGCCUGCAAAUAAUGACUGUGUUCAGCAGAAAAAGCAAGUUUGUAACUGUUGUAAAAUUCUUUAAUAUGAUUAGUCUUCCUCUUAGUUCCUCAUUAGAUAAUAAAUAUAUAAACUAAUCAUGUUUAAGAAUUUUACAACAGCUGCAAAGCUAUCUUUUUCUGCCAAUGGAUGCGUUCAGCAAAGAAAACUAAUUAGUUAGCGCUUAGUGCAAGAACUGUAGUUCGGCUGUCACUUCAGCAUUCCCUUGGAAUACAUUUUGAACCUAAUUAUU